CAAUUAUGAAGCCGUUAUUCAAUUUCUUUAGUACUUAGGCUUCAUUUGGGAUUGUGGAAAAAUUACGUUACGUGCGGUCGGAAAGGACAAAAGAAACAUAUUCUGUUUAUUUCCGUACAUAAUAUUGCGUUCCGCAUAUUGCGAUUAGCUGGUUACGAUAUAUUUUCUACUGUUCCAUCGGAGAAUGCAGAAGUAUAUCCUUAUACAUUUUUUUCUCAACUCCAUUUAAUUUAAUAGCGUUAGAUAGACCUCAAUACCAAACUAAGUCUUAAAAAUAUCAAAGUUAUUUUGCUGACAGAAACAUGUCGUCAAAACUAUAACAAUUUUACUAAAUAGCGUGUAAAAAGAAAAAAAAAGUAAGAUAAUAAUUUAAGAAGAG
rnacentral:lncRNA from 1 species